GGGCUAUCUAAUUAAUAUCCAUUCUUCAUUUCUGCUUCUGGGCUCUGAUAGGACAAAGACAUAGAGGAGACAGGAGGAAGUUAUCCAGUCAACCAAACACCAAAACAAAGUACAACAUCCCUAGAAGAACUUCUACCAUAUAUAUACAUACACCUCAAGCUGUCCUAUUAAGGAUUCUUUUUUUAAAUUUUAGGCUGACAUUAAUGUCCAGAGUGGGAAAGAGGGUUGUAAAGAAGGAAGAAUCAGGAAAGAAAAAAUAAACAGAAUAGUGAUCUUCCUUCUCUAAACCUUCACAACUAAAAUUCCUCACUAAAGCUUUUAAAUAAGUAGAAUUGACUGAAUCAGAACUGGUCUCCAGCCUGUGGGGACUGGAGCCAAAUAAAGCAGGCUAGAGGCAGGAGAGUAGUAAUCAAAUAGAAGUUUAAUCUCAAAGUGAGGAAAAUACUUGCAAGCAGAAGUCUACCUUCUUGAAAAGGAGGACUUAUGGCUUAUGGCUUAUGAUAGAAUUUUUAAGUUUGAAAAUCACAAAAAGGCAGAACCAAAGCAAUUAUUCUUAAGUCUUGAGUAAACAAGUUCCACAGUUGGCAUCUUGGGGACAACACAGAUAUUCUCAGAACCACUCUCUAAGUUUAGAAUUUUUGAGCCUUGUGAUUGUUUGGGUCAUUGAGUCUUGUGAUCAUUAAGCAGGGUAUAGAAUCAGAGUUAGCAUGGAGGGAAUAGAAAUGCAGUACUUCGUUCAGUUCACUUAGCAGUUACAAGCUUUACAAGUUAUAAGACUGUUUAGAAUGGCAGGAGAUGUGAUUGAUCAGUUUCUGCUACAGCAAGUGGCUGUAGUUCAGCUCUCAGGUCAGGAUUCUCUGGGGAAAAGGGAAACCAUAAAUCCUAGUUCUGAGGUUUUGCUAUGGCUGAGAUCAUCCAGAGGAUGAAUGCAAAGGAUUGUUGUGCUAAGCUCAGAAAACAGCCUGCUUGCUGGGCCUUAACCCUAGGAAACAAGAUGUCUCCUAAUAUCUUGACAGUAAUUUCCCAAUGGCUUCUUUUGAAAAGAAAAAUGAGUCAUAUUAUUUUGGAUAUCUUUUAUUACAGUGAAAUUUAUCAUGGGAAAAAGUGUGUAUUCAAACUUCCUAAAACUAAAGACACACUUCUAAAUGCCUUGUAAAUUCUUUAAAAAGAAAAAAAAAUCUCCAAAUACCUUGUAAAUUCUUUAAAAAGAAAAAAAAAUCUCAUAAAACUAAUGUUAAUUAAAUGUUUUCUUGACAUCUAUUAUAAUUAAUAAUUUUAGGCAAACUGCACAUAGUUAUGUGAAAGAGUUGUAUUUACAUUAAAAAGUAUGUUAUGGACCCUUGUAGAAUCAUUUUUAUAUCUCUCUUAUAUGGACAAGAAUUUAGAAAACUAUGGAUGCCCAUCAAUUGGAGAAUGGUUGGGUAAAUUGUGGUAUAUGAAUGUUAUAGAAUAUUAUAUAGUUCUGUAAGGAAUGACCAGCAGGAUGAUUUCAGAAAGGCCUGGAGAGACUUACAUAAACUGAUGCUAAGUGAAAUGAGCAGAACCAGGAGAUCAUUAUAUACCUCCACAACGAUACUGUAUGAGGAUAUAUCUUGACGGAAGUGGAUUUCUUCGACAAAGAGAAGAUCUAACUCAGUUUCAAUUGAUCAAUGAUGGACAGAAGCAGCUACACCCAAAGAAAGAACACUGGGAAAUGAAUGUAAAGUGUUUGCAGUUUUGUUUUUCUUCCCGGAUUAUUUUUACCUUCUGAAUCCAAUUCUUCUUGUGCAACAAGAGAACUGUUUGGUUCUGCACACAUAUUGUAUCUAGGAUAUAUUUAACACAAAU
ensembl:lncRNA